UGAGGACUAACCCAGGGCCUCACCAUGAGGGGCAAGCACUCUACCACUGAGCUACGACUCCAGCCCCUGGACAUGACUCUUCUUUCAUAGCUGUUGAAGAGGUUGGCAAGUCAGCUGCGUCCUUCCCUCAAGAGGUGAAGGAAGGCAAAUCCGCAGCAUGCAGGAUGGAAGUCAGACAGAAAGAGGCCUCCUGCAGUGAAGUAUUGGAGCAAAGGACACCUGCUGGAGUAUCCCCC
rnacentral:lncRNA from 1 species